GGUGAACCAGCCCAGGUUGGAAAAUGGAGAAAAUAAUUGAAAAAAAAAAAAAACAGACAAACAAACAAAAAAAACUCUUACUAGUCUAGCAAUAGGAUUUCUCUUUGGGUAAUGAAGGUAAAAGUGUCCAUUCAUUUAACUAUAUUUCAUUUGAUUCUUUACUAUAUACAUAGCAUACUAAUACAACAACAGACAAAACAAAUAUUCAAAGAAAGAAAAACAAUUUCAAUUGUAGUAGGAUUGUUAUUUCAAAAACUCAAAACUUAACUUUUCUUAAGCAGAGAGUUAAGCUGAGCCCGUAUCCACAGCUCCUUCUUCUGGGAUGAUUUGAGUUGUAUUUGCUAGCUUUUUGGAUAUAAAAUAUAUAUGUUUAUUUUCUCUUCUUUCCAUCAAUGAUAUGAUGAUGAAAAGUGUGUGUUUGUACCUACCUAGCAUACAUUUUGCAUUUUGGUUUCUUUCUCCUUGGGCUUGUGAGUCUCUAUCAGAAUCAGGGGAGGGUAUGAAUACAGAAGAGAAGCCAUUUUCCUUUUUGCUAGAUUCUAAAUAAGUAGAUGCUUGAACAACAUCUGCUGAUAAUCAAAUACAGCCGGAGACCACUAAGGCAUCCUUUUAAAUUUGUUUUGAUUUUCCAAUCAACAAAUGCUUUCAUCAAAUGUUUGCACUUCAUCUGAGCACCCUUUGGCUAAGUAGAGAGAAACUCUCUAGUGAUAGUUAAUGUUACAUGUGUUUAUAACAGUGUUUUCAAGAGUGUUCAGUGAUCUGAAAGUUUUGCUUCUGUUAACCAACCAUGGAGAAAGCUAUACUUCAACACAUUCAAUCUAACGAACCGCUAAGGAAUAUCUUAAACUGGAACAGUCCAAUGUUAAGUUUAACUCUAUUCUGGUAGUUGCUGGGAUAUAAUAAAAUAACAAGUUCUUCUGGAAUAAUUUAAAGUUAAUUGUCUAAAAAUGAAAUUAUGUAUGCUCAAUUUUAUAAAACAGUAGGUGCCAAACUAUUAUGGGGACAGGAAUAUAAUCCUCAAGGACAGAGAAAUAAACAUUUUAAAAGCAAAGUUCACAGUUGUCACAUGCUAAAAACAGCUGGCAUGGGAUUUGAAUAGUGAGGAGCUUGAGACUGACAAUAUUCUGUUGAAAAGAGUGAUAUGAUGUUUAAUGAAAACAGCAGCAAAAAUUGUUCAUAGUGUAUUUGUUUUGCUUGGAAUCUCACGUUAAAAUUUAGAAGGACCUUCAAAGCAGAACAUAAUGAUACUCAAGCCAGUGCUUCAACAUUUACAUAAAAAUAAGAAUUGUUACUAAAUCAUUUUCUCAUUUGUUUACCUUUCAUUAAAAUGUAUCCUUUAGCAAAACAAAAUAGGGCAAUUUCAUAAUCUGAAAGAAAACUUGUCCUCAUUUUAUUUCUGUUACUGUGAUGGCCAGAGCCAGGAGGAGUAUGGGUUUAUUUCAUUUUACAGUUGCAAACUCUGGACCAGCACUGGGAGGCACAGCAGCAGGAGCGUGAGACAGUUGGGAAUCUGCCAUCCAUGGGGAAGAGCAGAGAGAAACAAAUGAGUGCUGGAGUUAGCAUGCCUUGUUUUCUUCUGAGAAUCUAAGCCAUGGACUUGUACUAUUCACCCUCUGAAAUUUUGUUAUGAAUCAGGGCAUGUACUAAUCACAAUGCUUUCUUUUUAGUUCUAGACACUUCUAAGUCCUAACUUAAAGACGUGUAUCUUCAUAAUAUUACACAGCUAUUGGGAAAAACCUAGGAUCCAUAGAAGGGGAAACAUGAAGUUUGAUGGUUGAAAAAGAUUAGCAUUCUUGUGUUCCCUCUCUGGACUUUUAUAGAAAAAACUAGGAGACUCUGAAGAUCCACGAGAUUAUUUUUUUUUCUCUCUUUCCUAGAAAGCUACUUUUCCUUUUAUUGCCCCUGCUCUUGAUUUCUCUUUUCUGUGUCAACUCACAGUCAAGGGGGACCUUUUUAUUUUCUCCAUGAAUCACAUCCCCACCUAUAACAAUUUCUGAAGAUUGGCUCUCCUAAAAUACACAGUUUAUAGCCCUAAUGUGGUGCCUUGUAUCCCCCAGAGAAGACCUCAGUAUUGCCCUGUGCCCCAGUCAGAAUUAAUCUCAUCCUCUUCUGCACUCUAGUAACAUGUGCAUUACUCUUACUAUGGUUCAGAUUUUCUUCUGCUGCUGCUUUUCCUGCUAAACUGCAGAGAGCACGGGGAGAUUGUUUGAAGGGUAGAGAUAUCAUAUACAUAGGUAUUUUAAAGGCACUUAUAGUAAUUGCAUUUUGCUUUAUGUGUAUUCUGUAUCAUAUGCUUCCUGAAAACCUUCCCUGCUGCUAACCUCUAUCAGUUUACUGUCUCAUUGAUCUGCACAAUUACAUGAAAAGGUGUUAAGAUCCUUGUUUCAUAAAUUAAGUAAAUGAUAAUUAAGGAGUUUGAACCUUGGUUAAAAAAAAAAAACCUCAUGGAUAAAGCAAAAGGAUUUUAUUUUAAUUAAAUAUAGCAUGAACAUUUGUGGAGAUGAAAAUGCAUAAAAGUUAGGGUUAAGGUUUUAACAAAUAAGGAGUUCCCAAGUAUGUGCAUAGGGUACCCAGGCAAUCUGAAACUUAGAACUGAGCCCACACAGAGUCUCUGGAGAAAGUGAUCCUAGCCCACUGACACUAAUUACCAUCUAAACAUAUUGGGAUGCUUGAUAAUUAGAAAGUCAUUUAAAGAACACAGAGUUGAUGUUUUUGCUGUAGUUAGGAUUAUGUUCAUGUAGAAUGUAGUGAUGGCAAGAUAAAAGUUUUCAAGAAAAAUAACCACAAAUGAAACAAUGUAAUAAAAAUAGCACAUAGAAUUCUCAUGUGGAAUAAAAACAAGAUUUGAAAAUAAUCAAUUUACUGAGAUCUUUGAUUUCUUUCUUCAGAGAAUUGAAGUUCUUAUCAUACAGAUCUGUCACUUGCUUAGUUAGAGUCACACCAAAGUAUUUUAUAUUAUUUAUGACUAUUGUGAAGGGCAUUGUUUCCCUAAUAUCUUUCUCAACCUGUUUAUCCUUUGUGUAGACAAAGGCCACUGGUUUGUUUGAAUUAAUUUUAUAUCCAGCUACUUCACUGAAGCUGUUUAUCAGGUUUAGGAGUUCUCUGUUGGAAUUUUUAGGAUCACUUAUAUAUACUCUCAUAUCAUCUGCAAAUAGUGAUAUUUAAAGCAUUGCAUCAAAAAGGUAUAUAGGAACUUGUGUGGGGAAAGUUAAGACUAGUGAUAUUUCCUAUGUCUCAUUUUCUACACAUUUAUCAGAGUGUGAAUCAUCAGGAUAGUACUGCCUCUGCCUCAUAAACUGAAGCAGGUGGUAUGUGCAAAGAGACAGUAUUUGGGGACUAAAUGUACUAUAUACACUUUAUUUUUUACUGCAUAAUCAUGGGCCUGAAUUAUCCAAAGUCAUAAGGAGAUAAAGAAUGUAUGUGUAUUCAGAAAUAGCAUUCUCACAGGAAAUUUUGUUAACAACGUUUAUUGCAAUUGAGAGCCUUUGCACUUAGGAGGAUGAUGCACUCUAUGAUGGAAGACCAUCAGAACUGUCUCUGCCCCAGACAAAGAGCUGGAGGCCUACCUGUAGCCUGUUCUUUCCCAAUCCAGCCAUUUUCUUCUUUUUCUCUUGGACCUGGAAUGUUUUUCCAAUAAGUUAUAUGGUCAUCCCACCAAAUGCCAUUCCAACUGUCUUCCUGCAUUUCAACUCCUUCCUGUUGUCUGAGUUAGUCAUGUUGGGUACCCUAUAAUGUUUCAAUAUAUUUCUCUUCCAUAAUGGAAUUCCUAUGAAAAAGACUAUAUGGGCUCUGAAAAUUUGCUUUCUAACCCUUUAUGAAGGGCAGUUUGCAAAGAAAUGAAGGCUGUGUAAUGUGUAAUUAAUAUGUUAGUUAAGUAAAAUAUGUAUUCCCUCCAAAUAUGAAGCAAAUAUCAAGUCAGGUUUUGCAGAGCUUGAUCUAGUAUGCAGUGGUGGCAUAUAAAUAUUAAAAAGUAUCAUGUCUGAGAACUUUAAAUUACAUAUUUAGAUACAUAACAAUGUUAGAUAUUAUGGUGCAUUUGAGAGAAAAGCAGUCCUCAGGGAAUGUGGGAGGAUGGGGAAGAGAAGCUAGCAGAGUGCAUAUGAUAUGUUUGAAUAGGAUGACUGUCUAGAAGAGAGUUUGUGGUAGAAGAGGGCAAAUAGGAAAAAAGUGUUAUAGAAUACCAUAAUGAAACUCAGGAUCGUGCGAGUUAGUAUGCUAACUUAAAACAACAAUAAAAAUAACCAAAGAAAAAGGAACCAGCUGUGAAUGCUUAUGUUAACACAACAUGACAUUGACUAUUUUAUGAAGUGGAAAAUUGCUUCACAUUCAAAUUCUU
rnacentral:lncRNA from 1 species